UGAGGCUGGAGAGUGAUUUCCUUCAGGGCUUCAGUGGAAGAGGGCGACAGAAGUAUGGCAACAGACACCCAGACUGCCUGGACAGUCCACAAGCCCCUAGUUCCAGACGUAGACACUACAAGAUGACAUCACUCGGCUAAGGUCACACAGUUUCUGGGGCCAGUGUCCUGCUUUGCCUUUGUGAAGAAGAGGGAAGCUGCCCUACACUUCUCUCAAGAGAAAACGAGCUGAUGUCAGGGAUCCUUUCAAGAAAGCAGAUUUCAGGGCCAUUGCUGACAUCACUACCCAUUCAGCAAAAUGUCCCAAAGUGAAACAGAAGAUCCAGAAGAACAGGGUUUCAUUUUGUUUGGAGUUGGAUUCCCAGACCC